AGAGUUUGAUCCUGGCUCAGGAUGAACGCUGGCGGCGUGCCUAACACAUGCAAGUCGAGCGAUUCUCUUCGGAGAAGAGCGGCGGACGGGUGAGUAACGCGUGGGUAACCUGCCCUGUACACACGGAUAACAUACCGAAAGGUAUGCUAAUACGAGAUAAUAUGCUUUUAUCGCAUGGUAGAAGUAUCAAAGCUCUGGCGGUACAGGAUGGACCCGCGUCUGAUUAGCUAGUUGGUGAGGUAACGGCUCACCAAGGCGACGAUCAGUAGCCGACCUGAGAGGGUGAUCGGCCACAUUGGAACUGAGACACGGUCCAAACUCCUACGGGAGGCAGCAGUGGGGAAUAUUGCACAAUGGGCGAAAGCCUGAUGCAGCAACGCCGCGUGAGCGAUGAAGGCCUUCGGGUCGUAAAGCUCUGUCCUCAAGGAAGAUAAUGACGGUACUUGAGGAGGAAGCCCCGGCUAACUACGUGCCAGCAGCCGCGGUAAUACGUAGGGGGCUAGCGUUAUCCGGAAUUACUGGGCGUAAAGGGUGCGUAGGUGGUUUCUUAAGUCAGAGGUGAAAGGCUACGGCUCAACCGUAGUAAGCCUUUGAAACUGGGAAACUUGAGUGCAGGAGAGGAGAGUGGAAUUCCUAGUGUAGCGGUGAAAUGCGUAGAUAUUAGGAGGAACACCAGUUGCGAAGGCGGCUCUCUGGACUGUAACUGACACUGAGGCACGAAAGCGUGGGGAGCAAACAGGAUUAGAUACCCUGGUAGUCCACGCCGUAAACGAUGAGUACUAGCUGUCGGAGGUUACCCCCUUCGGUGGCGCAGCUAACGCAUUAAGUACUCCGCCUGGGAAGUACGCUCGCAAGAGUGAAACUC
rnacentral:rRNA from 1 species